rnacentral:tRNA from 1 species
CAAAGAAUAGUUUAAUUUUAAAACUAUAAUUUUGGAGAUUAUUAAUGUAUAAUUUUUAUACUUCUUUGA